AUACCUAAACACCCACUCUACCACCCACUCACCUCAGGGACCUGCUGCUGCUUUCUAUUCCAGAACUUUUCCAGCAGCCAACAUGCAAACAAGUUGGAUGUGAAACUCAAACUGCAAAAAGCACCACGGCCCAUUUGGCACGGGUGGAUGACAACAGGUUGCAUUGCAGAAGAGGGGGGGAGGGUGAGGGGGGGACAACCAAUUGAUCGACCUGCACAGAGGGAUGUGAACAGCACACAACCUGUGAGAAAUCACAACGGUGUGUAAAAAAAGAUCAACAACAGGACGUUGCAGGAUACACUUUCUGUCUCUAGCAAUGUGUGCGGGACCUCCUACGGAAGCCUGCGAGGGUCCAUCGAGGACUGAUUACUGGAGGACCACUUCACUAAAGAACAUCGUUUUGUAUUAAUGCCACUUGCGGCUCAGCAGGCUGCGUGAACACAUGAAAACACGUGAAUACCGAAGAAGAAGAAAGUAAAAUGAAAUUUUAAAAAGUGUUUUCGAAAGGUAAAAAUGAACCACAACCUCGAUAAAAACAGAAAUAAACUCUCCUGCCGCGUGCAUCAUCUCCUGCUUUCGGAGCUCCGAGCAAGCCACGGACCCCCCCGAUCAGCUGCAGGAUAACGUUCCGGCCGCCGAGGGGGGGGGCGACGGCAUUCAGAGAGGAGCCGGAGGGAGGCGAACAAAAGAAUUCACUUCAAAUGUUGUGAAGCAAGGAAACACCAUUGCGCGUGGUUUUAUGGGAGUCACGUCUCGGACCCCCCCGCUCCUUGUCUUAUUGUAUUUCAUCUUCUUCAGACAGGACCGCGAGGGGCUCUCCGCUGGCCCCCGCUGUUGCUUCGCGAGCGAAAUAGAUGCGCACUUUUUUCUUCUUCCCUUAGGUCCGCACCGCUUUUCUGCGCCACCGAACAUUGGAAAAUGCCCCCCGCCCCCCGCGCACCGUGAGGGGGUUCUUUCGUUCUUAUUGUGGCUGCAUAUCUCCCCCUUCAAGGCGGCUCACGUCUUACCGUGUCGACGCUCCCAAGCACGGCGGUGGCCAGAGUCUGGACCGGAGGAGGCUGCUCUCCGCUGGCUCCCUCCGACGCCAUCUUCGUACUGUGGCGGUGUGCGCGUGGAGCGGGGGCGCGUCCGGCGCGCCGCAACUAUCGCGCUGGCGCGCGUAAAUCACAUCGGGAGGGAAGGGGAGAGAGAGAGGAGAGGGGCGCAGAGAGAGAGAGAGAAUUCUAAGGAGCCGCUAUUAAAGAAUCCAUUGGUCAACAUCGCCACUAGUGGGGAUCGGUAAAGCAGACUACGGCCAGUGAGCCGGCCCUGCCAGUUGGAACCACCAACUGGCCCAGACAGGAGAGCCCGGGUGGAAGCUAAGUUAACCCAGGGUACCACUACCCAGCAUGCCCCUGGCUGUCUGACGUUCUGUUGAAGAAAAAUAAGUUGGCUGAGAGGAGCUGCAGGUCGGAGACUGUAGAGCCCACGUCUCAAUCGGAGACCCGGGUCCAUCGUGGUCCCGGACCAAGCUGCUGGAUAUCAGGACAGAGAAAACGUUUUGUUGCUGCUUAUGAUGCACCUUUUUUAAAAAGGUGCACUACAGAAAUGUGCUGCUGUUUUGGUUUUGUUUGUCACGUGUUGUGUUACAAAUGGGCUACAAAUGGACCACAUCAGCACAUGCUCAAACAACGUAUGUUUGAAUGGCGCUCUGAAAGCUCGUCCUUCGAAAAUUGACUCUCCCUCUGCAGAUCUUUUUUUAUCAGACGUCCGUAAAAAGCAAGAAGCAAAGGAUUCAAACCCGAAAGCCCCAGUGUUAAUCUCACGAGUCGAUGCUGAGUUCAGAUCUCAGCUGUUUACCCCAAGAGGGCAGAGGGAGGGAUACGGCGCCCUCUCAGCUCCCAGAUGUGGCGUCUAGGAUUAGCUGGGCGCUGAUCCGGCCUGCUUGGCCAGAAUGAGGUUUUUAAAGCCCUAUUUAGGUCAACCGUUUUCCUACAUCAACAUUCGCUGGUUGCAAUGAGAGCAUGUCGCCGUGUGUAUUCAAUGGAAACACAACGGUUUUGUCGUUUGGAUCUCGAGAAAACUGCUGUCUUUUUCUUUUCUUUGAUCAGCAGCAGCUGUAUUGUGGCAAGAAUAGAAAAAGGUGGAAACGCAUGAUUCUGCAGUGACUUCUGAUGUCUUUUCUCCUCCCACAACAUUGUGUCUGCAGAGAGGU
ensembl:lncRNA